CUUUUGCUGGUCUCGGUUCCAACCGGUUCGUCAGCAGAAUGAGGAAAGAUGAAAUCAGUGUUGUACAGAUGACUGACGCCUCCUGAUAGGCUUACAUUGGCAAUGUUGGCGAUCUUCAUGGGGCAAGGUUUGGAGAAAGUCAUGGAUGGAAAUAACAUUAAAGAAGCUGCUAUGGUUCCAACACCAGCAUAACAUCAGAAGUGGAUCUGAAAAUCUCUUCAGGACAACAUCCUUGUCACCAGGACAAACAAUAGCUAAGGAGGUUGAACAUCUUCACUGAAGCUUUCUGAAAAACAGGAGAUUCCUCUAAAGCGCAGAGAGCGUUAUCACUUUUCCCCCAGCUGCACUAAUAUUGCCAUGUUUUUUAUUUUUAAGUGAUGUCCAACGUACAGAAGCACAGGUCAGUUUGGAAAUAAAGCGUUUACAUCGUGCAGCAAUUCAAUCCACAACCACUUAGAAGCCUUGUAUACAAAGCACCAGCAAGUGGCAAAAACAAGUUCAUUUUUGCACAGUAAUCCACGGAGGAAUUGGCGCUACAGACAGACAUACUGCCUCAGUUGCUAUGGAUAUGGCAGGGAAUUUGGGUAAUGUUUGUUGAUAGGAUUGGAAAUUUGAGUAUCAGAAAUUAAGGUCAAAGGUGGAGUCUAACCUGAGAGACACAUACAAAUUGAAAAAAGAGGUUGAAUUUCCCAGUGCAGACUGUACCUUGCUUUCUUGAAGUCUCAUUUGCUUAUUUUGCCUAUUUGCUUUUGCUUAGUCCAAUCAUACGCAGGAUAGCCAAUCACUCAUUGGAUUUUUCUCCCCCUUCUGACAAUUAGAGAUUUUGAUAAGCCUCAUUUGAACACUGAGAUUUCACUAGGCAUUUGAACAACCUUUCAAAGCAUUCUUUGAAGACAUAAGGAUUAGCAACCUGACCCUUGGAAAAAAGAGGGGAGAGGAUGCUAUUUUUUUUAGAAAGCUAAUUUCUAUACUUGACAUAAAAACCCAUUAUUUCACAGAACUAUAUUCAGUUCUGUGUCAUGACUUUAUUUAUUCAAUGUAUAGCCUACUUUUUUCUAUGACUGCACUCAGGGGAACAAACAUGAGAUUCCCAUGCAAUUUUCAACAGUGGCAUAGUGACAAAUUUUGUGCAUGUUUUGACCAUGCUUUAACUUCAAAACAGAAUCCAGCAUAACUGAUCUACCUCAAUGAACUACUAACAGCAACUUCCAUCUCCAGCAGAAACAGGUCUUUGGGUUCAACAGUUCCAAGGUGCUCAUUUCAGACCAAGCAACCCCCAAAUACCAAACUAUUCACAAUAAGUCAUUCUUCUUCAUUCACACAGUCGUUUCCGACUCUUCGUGACCUCAUGGACCAGUCCACGCCAGAGCUCCCUGUUGGCCGUUGCCGCCCCCAAUAAGUCAUUGCUGUUGUUCAUAGCCACACAUUCCCAGCAACUGUAAGGACUGCAGGUAAGACCCAAGGAAAUAGGGAUGUCUAAAGAGAAGGUCAGAUGGCUUUAUCGCCCCAGCCAAUCAAAAAUGAUCCUUUGAUCCUUUGAGCUCAGAUUCCACUGCAUCACUUCUACUUCCAGUACAUUACAGAUUCCUUUAGAUUCAGCAAGGCCUUGAUGAAAUGGGCCUCUCUAAACCAGUGACCAUUUUUAUUCACGAGGAGAUGUGCACAAGUGAAUGGCGGGAAGAGGCUUGCUAACACAUACACAACCCCCUUCUGCAUGUAUGUAUGUGACCCUCAUACAUGCAUUGCAGUUCAAGCAGAGCUCUAAGCUGCAAAGCCCCGGUGCAUGUAAAGACAACAAAGAUUAUGAGAAGGUCAUGUCUCUGUUACACAGUACUCAUGUUCUCAAAGACAAGUGUGAGCCUGCAGGUACAAUGUGAGAGUCUGAUCUAAUGUUAAACGUGACAAGGACAGGCUUGUAUUCUCGCUCGUUUCCUCUUGCACCUCUUUGACUUUGAAAGCCUCCCCAUUCCAUUUAUUAUGAACCUACUCAACAAACACCUGCUUCCUAAUUCCAGCUCUUGCCAAGCAGCAUAAAUUCAUCCCCCUCCCCUCAAUUACCUUCCAGAAAUCCCUCCUCUGUUCCUCCUCUUCAAGGUAAGUUCAGGAGAAAGAGGUUCCUUGAGAAUUAAAAGCAAGCCGUCUGCUCGCACUCAAGGUCAGUUGGUGCUGCAGGAAAGGUGUGUUUUUUUAUUAGCUCACCUUGCUAGUUCUAUCAGAAAAUGUUACUUUGGUGCACAGAGAUAAUUAUUUUGAACAGAUUGCAGAUCCCUAGGGGGCAUAUGCCAUCUUUGGGAACCUUGGAUAGCUUAAGAUAGUGGCACCAUUGACUGGAACUAAACAGUGCUCAUUAUUGAGCUGUCAUGUGAGAAAACAUGGCUGCCCCCAAAUGCCUGCAGAAUGUAAAAAAGAAAGGGAGGAACUGAAAAAGAACACACCAAUGGCAACAUCUGAGCAUGAAUAAUCAUAUCUUGGGUCCUUCCCCAAAGGGGAAGAGGGCUAAACUGAACCUAACUGCAGUAAACGUAUUUUACUUGCUGUUCCAGCAAAUGGAUUUCGGCCCUGGCCCUCUCUUCUGGGCUGACGGUUAUUCCAUCCAACACCUGAAGCUUCGGCAAGCGAUAUAUUAGAAGUGGACGAUGGCAGAUCUUACGGGAUACCUGAGAGGCAGAGAGAAAGAGAAAGAGGCUGGGAGUUAAGCUGAUAAACCUCCAGAUUCAUUGGGUUUGCAUCCCUUCCUGGGGUUGAGAUCCAAGCUCUACAUUAGGCAAAGUAGCAGAAAGCACUUCAGGCAAAAAGAACCAAUUUCAGCCCCAGAUUCAGCAGGUAGGUUGGAAAAACUGCCCAAACUCUGAAGAUCUGGUGACAAGACUGGCUUGAUGGACUACCAGGCUGGUUCAGGGGAAAGAUGCCUCCUACGUUCCUAUACGAUGUCUAGGAUUCUCGGGUAAAGUAAAAAAAAGUAUGCUUUGCAUGCCACAAAUGCUACAUUCAUGCUCAAUUGUAGAUCUCCCAGGUCUGUCCCUAUGAAGUUAAGAUGGGGAGCAAAGCAAGAAUUUCCCUCAUUUCAAAUUUGAGAGACUCCAGGGACUGGCAAUCAGUCUUACACACAACUGGGCUAACUGAACCAGCCCUCUAAGUCACUAAAAAGCCAAAUCCA